CCUACGGGUGGCAGCAGUGAGGAAUAUUGGUCAAUGGCCGGAAGGCUGAACCAGCCAAGCCGCGUGAAGGACGAAGGUGCCAAGCAUUGUAUACUUCUUUUGUCAAGGGACAAAAUCAGGCUCGAGAGCCUGACCGAGGGUACUUGAAGAAAAAGCAUCGGCUAACUCCGUGCCAGCAGCCGCGGUAAUACGGAGGAUGCGAGCGUUAUCCGGAUUUAUUGGGUUUAAAGGGUGCGUAGGGGGACUGUUAAGUCAGCGGUAAAAGCCCGGGGCUCAACCCCGGCGAGCCGUUGAAACUGGCGGUCUUGAGAUGGCGUGAGGUAUGCGGAAUGCGCAGUGUAGCGGUGAAAUGCUUAGAUAUUGCGCAGAACUCCGAUUGCGAAGGCAGCAUACCGGCGGCGAUCUGACGCUGAGGCACGAAAGCGUGGGUAUCGAACAGGAUUAGAUACCCUUGUAGUC
rnacentral:rRNA from 1 species